UGACCAUGUUCAAAACACCCUUCACUCUAACACUUCAAUUCAGGCCCACAGAGACCUUAAGCAGCAUCUGUAUCAAUACAUAUCGUACCUCAAGACACUGCACAUGGCGAUAUGGAUAUUGUGAGCGAGGCCAUACCUGACAGAGAGUGUGAAGUCCCCUGGGUUGCUCUUGCUGGGCCGGGCCAGGAAGCUGCCGUGGACCCCCCGUGUCAGGAGCAGCUGCUCAGCCUCUAUCCCAGUGAUGUUGGGGUGGAACCACCUGUAAACGGGUACCACACACAGAGCACAGGUGGGUCAUGGAAAAGAAAGAAGCAGAACAAACUGGUUGUGACGAAAAAGAGAUCGAGAACACUUCACUGCAAGAGGCAAUGAUUCAACAGGAGGUGGGGGGAAAUAAAUACACUUCUCGACAAACAUUUAUAGAAAUGGCCCGUGUGACUCACAACGCGUGUGGACACACACGCACACACACACACACACACACACACACACUAAAAAACACUCCCACUUGCUUCUCCAGGCACAACCACUUGUCCAGCUGAUGUUGUGAAGAUAAGAACGCUCCAAUUAAACCAGCGUACAUAAGCAAAUACACACACAGAUACACACACACAAUACACCAUCAACCCAACACAACCUCAGCCCUGUCUUCCUCUCCUGCCAGAAUUCCCUGAAUAAGUGAGACCCACUGCCCAACAUCUCACUCCUACACCAUCUGUGGUGCCACGCUCACCUGCCACCCACCGCGUUGCCGUAUCGGAUGCAGCUGCGGCCCCAAAGGAGCUUGCUGCUGGUGGAUCAGCUCACCUCUGGCCUCCGCCCGAUUAACCCUGAUUUCCAGGGGCCAAACUCCCCCCUCUCAGCAUGCCUGACGUAAACAUUAACACGGUUUAAGAGCAUGGCUGUGUGCAAGCUCAUGGUCUUGGCCUGGAACAAUCAGACCCCUGUGACCUCUUUAAAAGCAGUGGCACACCACAGUCUCGCUGAGCAGCACAAGCCCUGGGGCACAUGCAAAUAAGGGACAACGUAUGCAUGCCAACAGACACAGAUACACACAC